ACAAAUCGACUGAAAUUUAUAGAUAAAUUUUCAAUGUUUGAGAUUUUCUUAUGAAAUAAAAAUCACCGUAGUAAGACAACAGCGAUACGUAUUUCCAGUGAUAACGAGGUUCAAAUGCAGUAUGACAUGCACUAUUUUUUUCCAAUUUUUAUGUCCUGUUAUUUAAUCUCUUUGCAAAAGCACCUUCCAACCAAUUCCUUUUUUGGUCUUCUUGAGACGCACACAGCAGUGUACCGGAAAACACUCCUCUUUUCUUUUGUUUCUGAUCUAUUUUUCGUGAAAUACUUUCACAUAGAAAUAACGAUGUGAACAAAACGUUAACCUGCCCUUCAUACUCACGUGUAACGUUCUUCAAAUGGAAAUGAAUUACCCCGACUUGUUUUUUCACGAUGGAAGCAAGGUCUAACUUUCCUAAGCCAUAAACAAUAACGUACGAGUAUCAACCGGUUAUCAUAAGGUGUGUGCAUCUAUAAAGAGUUGUACGUCGCGAUUUUGGGCAAUAUGCAAUUGCAAAUGUUCGUUUUCUUUUGUCAAAUGUUACCUUGGCUGUUAAUUCAAGAUAAUGAUCAUACCGGCGAAAUGAUUAAGCAAUUUGCGACGGACCAACAUAAGCUGAGGUCUUCAAAUAGGAUUCAAAAAAUAAUUUGAUUGACCGAAGAAAGUUCAACCUUUGAUCAGCGAGUCGAUAUUUUAAUCGCACUCAAAGUUGAAGAGAGAGAUGUUUAAUUUCCGAGUUGUACCGGCUCCCAAGCAACGCAAACAGGAAAACAAACUAUUCAGAGGUGUGUUCAAUAAUGCAGAAAGUUGUCUGAAGAGAGCAGCGGGGGUGCUUGAAUACAAAGAAAGAGCUCUAAACAAACUUCAAAUGCGCAAAGAAUUGAGACAUACAGUUGGAUUAAUUGUUGCUGUCAGCUGUUGGCUUCGGGCAAGAAACACAAUGAUACUUUAUAACAGAGAAGGGAAAGACUUAGAGUAGGUAAAAAACAGGGUAGGGGAAAAAACAGAGUACGGAAACAAACUUAAAAUGCGAAUAGAAUUGAGACACGCAGUUCAAUUAAUUGUUGCUGUCAGCUGUUGGCCUUCGGGCAAGAAACACAAUGAUACUUAAUAACAGAGUAGGGAAAAAAUUAUCGCGGUUUAACAACACAAUGAACUUAAUUUCAGGAUUAGUUGCAACAAGGUUCUCACAAGUAAUCGUGGAGAUAAGAAUACUGCUUGAAAUCAAGAUAAAACGAAAAAGAAAAAACUCACCGAUUUCGCUCUUAGCGGGGGAAGAAAACAGCGACGCGACUCAGAUUGAACAAAUUGUACUGAAUAUGGAGUUAAGAAUUACGUUUUUCCUAAUCAUAUAAUUUUUUCUUUCGAUCGAGAGCAGCAGAGUAUCUUGGUCAUCUUGAACUUCGUGCAUAUGCAAAAACAGGUGUACGCUUAUUCAAUGUUCCGUUUCACAAGAAGUUUUUGGAAACUUCUAUCGAUUAACAAUAACAAACUGCGACAAAAACAACCUCGAAAAUAAAAGUAUAAUAUUAUUUGGAAAAGGCAAUUUUUCUACGGGUUGAUUUUUCAUCAGAAAAAGGUUGAAAAUCCGCAAACAAGUAAUCAACGGAUUAUACCAUCAGCCUAGCCACCGCAAUUACGGAAACGUGAUCCACAAAUCUGUUCACAAGGAAAAACGCGCUCACAAAUCAAAGCAAACACCGCUCGCUUAGCCUCGUGGCGGGAGCGUCUUCGCAAAACGCACGUGUUUGCGUUUCAUGUCCUGAGUCCAAUAUACAAAACGUCAAAUUAAACCUAUACAAAACACGCAGCAAGGCUAACCCCAUGCGCGGAUAUUUCUUAAGGAUAUGCUCUGGUGCCAAGCGCCCCUGCGCAUUUUACCAUGAUGUGCAUCAAGCCCACUGUUUACCUUUUACGUCAGAAGUCGAGAAUAUAUUGGGACGCUCAAAGAAUACCGAAGUAUUUUGCUAAAUGGGGCUAAUUAUCUCCUAUACCUCAAACCUCGUUUAUCUCUUUAUUUCACCCACAUGAAGAGUUAAUAGGCUCAAAUCUCGUCGACACUGCUCGAGCUGAACAUGGAGAGCAAGGACGGUUUCUCGCCCCCAACCGCAGAGGAUGAUUAAAUUCCACCCUAAAGUAAGGUCGUGGGAAUAACCCGUGAGAAAAAUAGACAUGUUGGAUACAGAGGCUGCGUCAUUCAUCUUAUUCUGUUUUAUUAGCAAACACACCUGUCUUGGUUUGGCUUGCAUUGUUUCACGCGCGCAGUGUUUAUAUAACAGUGGCCGGCUGGGCAGUUGUUGAUCGCCCAGCCGUAACAGGAUUACGCCGUCUCGAAAACUUGCAAAUUCACUUUCUUCCUCAGCAAUACCGCAAAACCCUCCACGCCGACAGUUAAUUGACCAAUCCCCAAGGACCGCUUGAGAAAAACGACACGAAUGCCUCAGACAUCACGCGGAAAGAAGAAUGGAUGUACAAUUCAUUUCUGAGCCCAAUAAAAGAACGGAAAAGGGAAACAACACAGUGGACAAAGGCUCGUUACGCAAGAGGUAUCUCAAGUCAAGCGACAUAUCAGUGAAAAAGUCACUUGGGGCAAUGCAAGGCGUUAGUAGUUCAAUAAUUACCUAGCGGCUACGAACAUUAGGAUUUUAUUGUCCGUCGACGCCUAUCUCGAACUGUAUCUUAAGGCGUCGUUCCCACAUCCAUCUCUAAACGAGGAUGCUACUCAAUUAAAUGUACUGUCACGUAACAAUUUUGGCUGAUAAACAAAAUUGUAAUACUGCGCGAUAUUUAGUGUUUUCGUGCAGGCAGCACCACAGGAAACUGUCUACUAUAGAAACUAAGUUAAUUUCGCCCAGACAAACACUCCAAUUAACGGUCGCUACAAGGGGGCCGAAUGGCAGUAAAAGCCCACUGUAAAAUCCCAAAUUUGUGAUCGCCAAUAGGCAAUAAACCACAGCUCUGCGAAAACACAAAAGAACUCGCCGUCUAAACCGCUUGGCAGGAAAUAAGAAUGAAAACAAAGCGUAUUUUUACAACACAAUUAGAACAAUCCAGCUGGGUCGACAAACACCUGCUAAAAAGGCAAAAGACGCACUCAUGCGUCCAAAUUAAACCUCUGCUUUGUAAAGUUGUUUUUAAGAAAUGUUGCCUUUGUUUGGGAAGGGGGCACGGCCCUAUUUCAAUCACAGUGCACAAGGUACUUUUUUUGCGAGAUAAUAUUACACUCUUCGGUCGAUUUUUCCAUUAUUCUCGCGCAGUAAAAACUCACCAAAAGUUAAACUAACAAACCUGGUUUCCAUUAAACUAUGCCCUCGAGUUCUGUCAACAAAUUAUUCGCACAGGUGCGCCUGGCGAACUGAAUACCAGGUCACGUCCGAGAGGAAAAGGAGGUUCUCUCUUCCUUGAAAAUUACUAUUAGGUCAUUUUUACUAUAAAAUCUCUAUCAAAAACGGUAGAAAGAUACCCUUGUUGUAGAGCAAUGCGUAUGCGGCUAUGCUUAGGGUGUAAAUAUCCCAGAUAUGUCAACCAUGGUAAUAAUAGGUCGAAAUAGGAUAAGUUAGUUAUGAAAUUUCGAACACACAGGCGCUAUUUUUUAAAUCGAAAAUUGGCCCAGCCAAAAAAGGAAGAACUCUUCUGAAUUUCACUGGAAAUGCGUGCUUUGGGAACAAAAAGUUCCACGAAUAUUUUAUCUUCACUGAUUUGGAUUGUUUUAAGAUGGAAAUUGAGACUGUAAGAAGGGGAUGUGUUGAUUGACUCGCUUUUCAGUGCAGGAGAAAUUGUGUGUCAAUAAACUUUAAAGGUUAGACACUUGAUUCAGUACAAAUUAAUGAAUUUGGAGUAAAAAAGAACUGCCUCGCAGUCAAUUUACAUUAUCAAAUGUAAGCAUGCGAAAUAGGUUUGGUCGGAUUCGGCAGUAAUUUAUGCAAAACACAGCGAAGCUGUUUAGGGCAGAGAGCAAAGUCUGUCGACGAGUGAGACCUUUUCCGCGGGGCAGUAAAAUAACUCAACCGAUGUAUUAUCUGUUGAAAGGAAGAACUUGACAAAGACUGGGUUAAUUAACAGAACGCCCAUGAAAAUAACAGCGAGAAAAUUGGUACGGAGUAAAAAUGUUAUGUUAAAUUACUGCAGUCUCGUAAUAGCUUGCGAUUGACUGUGUCAGUUCCUUACAAGAGAAAGCAGGGAAAUGCAAGAAGCGAAAUAAAAGUAGCUACCCUAGUGCUCUAACAGUCCAGGAGUUUGCGCAGGCUUACGUAGAUGCACAAAAAUGAAAACCUCCUGCAAUGAAUGUCUAGCAAAAAGCCACAAGAUUGAAAAGCCAACGCUGACAGCGAGCAAGGAAGACGUGAAAAGAAGGUGAAAUGUUGAGCUGAUCAAGAUCAGACGAGAAAACAAAAAAGGCAGUGGGAAAGCUAUUGUUUGAAUUAAAUCAGGAAAGAAGAGAUGUCGCACACAAAACUAUCGCAUGGAAACUAAGACCCAUGAUGCAGAGGGUAAGACCAGAGCAGAUGCGCUGCUAAGGAUGCACAACAGGAACGCAAAGAAAAAGAAGCGGAGGCAGUGGGCAGUCGUGUUCUAGGAAUUAAAGAGGAGACACAACACUUAUUAGACCAUCAAGGAACAACGUGGCUUGAGACGCCAAAAAAAAAAACAAACAAACAAUAAAACGAGCUUUGUAGAUUGGAGUAUUAAACAAAGGCAUCUGCUGUUUUCUGUUAUAUAAGAAGGUAGAAGAAGACGUCUCGCCAGUGUUUGCUCCAAUUUAUUACGCUCCACAGUUCAAAACUACUGUAGGCAUGUCUUUUCAGCUACAUCUGACGACUACCGCCCGAGGAUUUAAGUGACUCUAUCAUUAAUUACCGCCAGUGUUUGAUAAAAUUGUCCAAAUUUAAAAACUGUCUCGCCAAAGAUUCGUUUACAAAUCGACAGUUCAAUUGUAACCUGUAAAUUUUCAGGCUGGGCCCAAAUGCAUCGAUUAAUGGGUAGUUUUGCAACCAGUGUGGAAAAGACCAGGCCAAAACUAAGCUCCGAGAAAUACACACACAUAUAACUGACUCAAAUAGCAGACGGACAAAUCCUGCUGCAUUGCGACCUCUCCAUGGAUGACAAGGAUUAAUGCUAACCCUUGCUGUUGUCCGGCAGGAUGUACUUUUGGACCCAAAGCGAGUUACUCAGAACUUGGUAAUUCAUACGAUUCAUAAUGUUGUGCAAAACUUCUCAAAGUUCCAAGAUUUCAACAAAUGGA